rnacentral:rRNA from 1 species
UACAGAGGGGGCAAGCGUUAUUCGGAAUUAUUGGGCGUAAAGGGCUCGUAGGCGGCUUGGCAAGUGGAAGGUGAAAUCCCUCGGCUUAACCGAGGAACUGCCCUCCAAACUGCUUCGCUUGAGACCGGGAGAGGUGAGUGGAAUUCCCAGUGUAGCGGUGAAAUGCGUAGAUAUUGGGAGGAACACCAGUGGCGAAGGCGGCUCACUGGACCGGUACUGACGCUGAUGCGCGAAAGCGUGGGGAGCAAACGGG